UCAAGGUCCGAACGGAUGAUCGCGAACCCGUAGAGCACCCAUAGGGAGCAGUAAGGGGGGCAACAACCACCGCCGCUUGCAUCUGCCUUCUUGGGUUCCUUUGCUGUCAUUGCCCUGCACGUCGUGCGRGGCGAGCGACAGGAAUAAAUUUCCAACACAGUGCGCGCUAAGGAGCAGCCCCGUUUGGAGAGCAGAGCGUGCGGCAAGCUUAUAGCGCCGCAGUACGCGAUGCGAUCUUGGUACGUCUAACCUGCAUAACUCUCGACAAUGGAUAUCUUGGCUCUCGCAUCGAUGAAGAACGUAGCAAAAUGCGAUACUUGGUGUGAAUUACAGAAUCCCAUGAACCAUCGAGUCUUUGAACGCAAGUUGCGCCCGAGGCUAUCUGGCCAAGGGCACGCCUGCCUGGGCGUCAUGCCUACCGAUGCUCUGCGCCCCUCCCCCUGUCCUGUGCGGUUCGGCGGUAGGCAUGGAUGUAGAGAUUGCCCCCCCCCAUGCAUCACUGUAUGGUGGGUUGAAGUGCAGGCCACCGGCUGGGCCGAACGCAGCGAGUGGUGGAUUGACACGCAUGCCACCGCCGAAGUGACCCAGCUCGAGUGGUGCACAGGAGGAACCCACGCCGAUGGGCAUCAUGUGAGCACUCCUUAGAACCUGACCCCAGGUCAGGCAGG
rnacentral:rRNA from 1 species